rnacentral:rRNA from 1 species
UACGUAGGGUGCGAGCGUUGUCCGGAAUUACUGGCGUAAAGAGCUCGUAGGUGGUUUGUCGCGUUGUUCGUGAAAUCUCACGGCUUAACUGUGAGCGUGCGGCGAUACGGGCAGACUAGAGUACUGCAGGGGAGACUGGAAUUCCUGGUGUAGCGGUGGAAUGCGCAGAUAUCAGGAGGGAACACCGGUGGCGAAGGCGGGUCUCUGGGCAGUAACUGACGCUGAGGACGAAAGCGUGGGGAGCGAACAGG